rnacentral:rRNA from 1 species
GACGAACGCUGGCGGCGUGCUUAACACAUGCAAGUCGAACGGAAAGGCCCUGCUUGCAGGGUACUCGAGUGGCGAACGGGUGAGUAACACGUGGGUGAUCUGCCCUGCACUUCGGGAUAAGCCUGGGAAACUGGGUCUAAUACCGGAUAGGAGCCAUUUUUAGUGUGAUGGUUGGAAAGUUUUUUCGGUGUAGGAUGAGCUCGCGGCCUAUCAGCUUGUUGGUGGGGUAAUGGCCUACCAAGGCGGCGACGGGUGGCCGGCCUGAGAGGGUGGACGGCCACAUUGGGACUGAGAUACGGCCCAGACUCCUACGGGAGGCAGCAGUGGGGAAUAUUGCACAAUGGGCGCAAGCCUGAUGCAGCGACGCCGCGUGGGGGAUGACGGCCUUCGGGUUGUAAACUCCUUUCGCUAGGGACGAAGCUUUUUGUGACGGUACCUAGAGAAGAAGCACCGGCUAACUACGUG